rnacentral:rRNA from 1 species
UACAGAGGUCUCAAGCGUUGUUCGGAUUCAUUGGGCGUAAAGGGUGCGUAGGCGGCGCGGUAAGUCGGGUGUGAAAUCUCGGAGCUUAACUCCGAAACUGCAUUCGAUACUGCCGUGCUUGAGGACUGGAGAGGAGACUGGAAUUUACGGUGUAGCGGUGAAAUGCGUAGAUAUCAGGAAGAACACCCGUGGCGAAGGCGGUUCUCUGGGACGGUACUGACGCUGGAGACGCGAAAGCGUGGGGAGCGAACAGG